AGGUUGAAACUGGAUCACACCCACCCACACAAUAUUCAGGAGAUUCAGUCAGUAGUGUAAGAGUUUCCUGUUAAAUUACUACAAAUAUAUAUAUAUAUAUAUAUAUAUUUAUCCCUCUACUGCAUAGCGUUGCCCUGAGGCAACAAACCACAUUUUCAUGCCUUACACUGGCCCUUCAAAAAAAAAAAACAACACUUUUUUUUUCAAAUAAUGCCACCAGGCACAUCUCUUUCCAAUAAAAUGAUGAGUUGAAGGUGGUGUGACUUAUAUUUGGGGGGGGGCAGGACCCCUUUCUGCAAGCUGCAGUACAUGAGAGACAUCUCCAUUCGGAGGCAAGAUAAAGAUCACUAUUUUACAUGUUUAUAGUGAAAUAAAUGUAUAUUAAAAAAUACUUGUAUGCAGCGCCGUAGCUCCGCAAACGCACAUAACGCACACUGCGUAGGGCACCAAAUGGCCGGUAGGGCACCAAAAAAAUCAGGGUCGUAAAAAAAAAAAAAAAGUAAACCACAUUAAUACUAUAAAUAUCAUAUGCAUUAAUAUGGUUAAACAAUACAAAAGCAACAUAAAACAAUUUUCCCGAGAAAAGGGGUGAAUCUGCUUUGUGCCCUGUCUCCAGUCUCCUCCUGGUGCCCCCCCCCCCACUCCCAGUGGUCUGUUCUAUAAUGCCUCAAUUCGGUAUUGGUAAACACCUGUUUGAACAUGGCCUCGAAACGGCAACAGGAGUCGGGAGCGGAGAAAAGAAAGAAGAAGAGGAAGCGUGAUGAAACUCAGGCGUCGCUUGCCGGGUCAAUGCUUAAAUAUGUUCAAGGAGGAUCUCAAGGACAGGAUGAACCAUCCAGUAGUAGUGCCAUCCCUGGACAUCAACCACCAGCCAUUGUAGACCCUGCAACAAUCCCUAGCCAAGAAGAACAAGAACCAUCAACCACCAGUUCAGGUACAGUUCCAUACACAAGUACCACUGAGAGUCCUGUCACUGAGAGACUAUCAGAAAGUGACACUGUGGAGACAUGUGUGCCCCCUUCAACCGAUCCUGCUCUUUGGCCAGCUCACAUUGUAGAUGCUGAUCGUGUUGAAAUUGUGCGGAGAGGUCCUUUUAAUGUCAGCUCUGAUUUUAAUUUUCCAAAGGGGCCUGAGUAUUUAUUUGUAACAGUAUUUUUAACCUCCUUUAACCUUAUUUAUUUGUUUAACUGUCAUGUUUGUUGUUAUUUAAUUAAACAAAUUCCACUGAGAAAUUCAAAAGUAUUAAUGUUUUUUUUUUUUUUUUUUUUAAGUGGCGGGGGGGGGCACCAUAAAGCAUUUGUGCUUAGGGCACCCAAAUGGCUAGCAACGGCCCUGCUUGUAUGUGCAUGAAUAUGUUAAGAAGCAUAUUUGAUUGUUUUUUCUUCUUUUGUAAAUUUAUUUAUAUAGUAAAACUGUUAAUUUUCAUUCGUUGCCUCAAGGCAACACUGCGCAGUUAGCCCAAUUUUUUUCAGGCAAUAUAGUGCAUUUGCAUACGUGUGUAGACAUGUGUUUGUGUGCAUUUAUAUGAUCAUAGUCAGUGCUUUUUACUUCACAAUCUACUCAUAAUUACAGGACAUGGAUGUAAAUACCUUUUAUGCAAGGAAACCAAGGGAAUGUGCACUUUCUGUCCUCGGAAAGUGAGGACAGUGAGCUUUCAGGGAGUGACACUGAAGUAGAGGAGUAUGAGGUUUGAGGGACACUUAGGAGCUCAGGGGUCAGUUGGUAAAGUAACUGUCUGUGUGUGUGUUACUGCCCACAUAGCAAGCAGGUCUGGCCAGGAUCUGGUAUCAAGUCGGCACUUUGAGUAAUCUGGGAGAGUAGAAAAGCGCUAUAUAAAAAUCAGUCCAUUCACUGUCUGAACAGUUUCGGCAUGUUACUUUUGCACUGUUUUGCAUGUUCCGGCACAUGUUGUUAUUGCAUGGCUUGAUUAAGGUACACAUUAUGCUGACAUCUGGGGCCAGAGCUGAAACUGUUCAGGCCAGCACAGGGCCAGCAGUGUGUCUACAACUGGCCCGUGGCUGCACACCACCUACAGAUGGCCCACAUACCACAAUGAAUAACGGCCCUUUCGUGGCCCAGAUCAGGUUUGCCAGAGGUAAUCCACUCAUGGGCCAGCACAGGACGACUAGGGUGUCUGAAACUGGCCUUGUGCUGGCCCAUGUGUGGGCCACCUCUGGCAAACCAGGUCUGGGCCACCAAAGGCCGUCAUUCUUUGCGGUAUGUGGGCCAUGUGUAAGCACAUUGUGUGGGCCUGAUCCCUGCCAUACCAAUAUUGCUGUGCGGGUGUCAGUGUGUGUGGUCGUGUAUUACUUAUUGUUGUGGGGACACAAAUUUGUUUACACACUCACAUUUUGAGGUCUCGCCUACUUUAUGGGGACAAAUUGCAAGGUGAAUCAUUCAAUUUUAGGGUGAAGGCUUGAGUCAGGGUUAGGGUAAGGUUCAGGCAGGGACUUGUGAUGGGUAGAGUCAGGAUAAGUCUCCAGGAAAUUAAUGUAAGUUAAUGUAAUGUCCACAAAAGUGAUGGAAACACAACGUGUGUGUGUGUGUGUGCGCGCGCGCGUGCAUAGGGUUAUGGUCAAAUGUUGGAUGCAUUUUGGUGUUUUAUUGUUUUGUGAAAUGUUUACAUUGUUUAUUUGUUGUUUAUUUAUUUGUUCAUCCUUGUUGUACUAAUGCAACUUAUUAUAGAAUAACU
rnacentral:lncRNA from 1 species